rnacentral:lncRNA from 1 species
CACGAGUGUGCGCAUGUGUACAUGUGUGUGUGUGUGUGUAUGUAUGUGUGCAUGCGUGUGUACAUGUGUGUGUUCUAUUAGCAUUUGUUUUGCAGGUGUACAUGAUUUGAGGGGCAUCUCAGGUGUCCUCAUGCCUUCCCUUAGUCUGUUGAGAUUGUCUUGAUCCUGGAGCCCAGCUGACAGUUUCCAAGAUCUAGCCAUUUGUUAUCUCUGCCCCCACGGUGCUGGGGGUACAAAUAUACAUGUGACCAUACUCAGCCUUUUUUGUUUUGUUUUGUUUUUUGUUUUUCCAGACAGGGUUUCUCUGUGUACACUCAGCCUUUUGUAUGGGUGCUGGAGAUUUGAACUCAGACCAUUAUGCUAACCCUUUUAUAAAUCGAAACAUCUUCCUAGCCCCAGAAUCUCAAUCUCUCUCUCUCUCUCUCUCUCUCUCUCUCUCUCUCUCUCUCUCUCUCUCUCUCUGUGUGUGUGUUUCAUUUUCUUUUUCAAGAUAUGACCAGACUCCUCUGUUGCCCAGGCUAUCCUGGAACCCGUUAUAGGUCCCAGACUAACUUUGAACAUAUAGUGACUCUUUUUACUCAACCUUCUGAGUACUGGGAUUAUAGGUGACACCUAUCUUAUAAAAGAACUGAUUAAAAAGAUUUACUUCAUGUAUGUGUGUGCGUUGAGUAUGUGUUUGAAUGUAUGUCACUUGAGUGAGGGUGCCCUCAGAGACCAGAAGCAGAUGAUGAAUUCCCUGGGGUUGUGAGCCUCCUGAUGUAGGUACAGGGAACUGAACAUGUGGGCCUUUCAGAAGAGCAGAAAGUUCUCUUAACCACUUACCCAUCUCUCCAGCCCCUGAAAAGAAUACUUGACAUCAGCCACUGCCGAUCAUUAAUCUGCAUCUCCGUUCUCAAGUAACUAUAAAAGAUUGGCACAAAACAAAAGCUCUCAUUGUACAUAGCUCCCCUGGAUGCCUGAAGAUCAGAAUCCUCAGAAGAGAGGCCAGCAUUUGACUCAGCAGAAAGACUGAUCCCUGCUGCCGGAUCCUCCCACUUGGAAUAAUGUUCCAGACAGUUGGUACUACCACUCCCUCUGCAGAAUAAAUACAUGAAUUCUGAUUUAAUUAUGCGUCAAUCAUUCCUUAACUCGAAAUUCCCAGAAGUGAAUGGUAGAAAGUCUUUGAGAGUCAAUUUACAAGAGCCAAAGAUUAGUCUUUAUGGUUUAAUUCUCGGAAAACAC